rnacentral:lncRNA from 1 species
CUACGAAGAAGGAAUCCGGUGAAAAAGUGGCAAAUUUGGAUUUCUCGGGCCCGAAGACGCCACCGUUGAGAUUCGGGGGUUUCUCUCGCAACCCAUUCGCUGUUAGUCCUCCACCGCCACAAAGGCAAGCUCCGGCACCACCACCACCUCCUCCGCCACCGCCACCGCCACCGCCACCGCCACCGCCAUAUGGAUACUGGGAGAGUCGCAUCAAGAAACCAGUGGAUUUGCAGCCGUCGGAUCUCGUGCUGCCCAAGCUGGGAUCAGUGAAGGAUCCCUCAUCUUUGGAAGAAUCGUCAAAGAAUGUGGUGGGGAAGAGC